AUUUAUUGCAUUCCAGUACAUAAAGAAAUAAACCUAUAAUACAGACGUCAACAUUUUACAUAAGUGGAAAAAGGCAACUGUGGGGUAUAUUUUUAUGUGACAAAUAACCUCCCUUUUAAUUUUUUUUAAAGUGUUUAUUGACAUUUUCAAAUUAAACAUUAACAAAAGCAGAGUGAAACUGCAUUAGUUACAGCCGUGUGAAGUCAUAGGAUGUACACAUCACAUACAUUGGUGCUUGAAAGUUUGUUAACCCUUCAGAAUUUUCUAUAUUUCUGCAUAAAUUUGACGUAAACUAUAUCAGAUUCACACAAGUCCUACAAGUAGAUAAAGAUAACCAAAUCAAACAUAUUAUUUAUUGAAGAAAAUGAUGCAAUAUCACAUCUGUGAGUUAUCCUUUAGAAUUAGCAGAUAAUUUGAUGAUGAAAUUAGAGUCAGGUGUGAACAGGGUUCUAUCAAAGUAUGAUUUUCACAACACAUGUUUGACAAAGUUUAUCACGAGAUGAACUGAGAUUUCUAAGAACUUCAGAAGAAGAGUUGUUGAUGCUCAUCAGGCUGGAAAAGGUUACAAAACCAUCUCUAAACAGUUUGGACUCCACCAAUCCAUAGUCAGACUGUGUACAAAUGGAGGAAAUUUUAGACAAUAAAACAGAAAACACUGCAUCCAAGCAUAAAAACCUCAUCCCGUUUGUGAAACACAGUUGUAUCAAAGUUUGGGCCAGGACAUCUUGCCAUUAUUGACGGAACAACAAAUUCUGAAUUAUACCAGCGAAUUCUAAAGGAAAAUGUCAGUACAUCUUUCAGUGAGCUGAAUCUCAAGAGAAUUUGGGUCAUGCAGCAAGAUAAAGACCCUAAGCCCACAAGUAAUUUUACCAAAGAAUGGUUAAAGAGGAAAUUUAAGGUUUUGAAAUGAACAAGUGGAAGUCCAGACCUUAAACAUACCCUAUCACCAAACAAACUACCCAAAUUAAAUAAAUAAAAAAUAAAUAAAUGUAUAAAUAAUG